rnacentral:miRNA from 1 species
UAUCACAGCUAUCUUUGACGUGU